rnacentral:rRNA from 1 species
UACGUAGGGGGGCAAGCGUUGUCCGGAUUUAUUGGGCGUAAAGAGCGUGUAGGCGGCCAGACAGGUCAGCUGUGAAAACUCGAGGCUCAACCUCGAGACGCCGAUGGAAACCGUCUGGCUAGAGUCCGGAAGAGGAGAGUGGAAUUCCUGGUGUAGCGGUGAAAUGCGCAGAUAUCAGGAAGAACACCCGUGGCUAAGGCGGCUCUCUAGUACGGUACUGACGCUGAGACGCGAAAAGCGUGGGGGAGCGAACAGGG